UUGGUAAACGUGACAAGACUCUUAAAGAAUAGGCGAAGGCUAAUUCUUUAGUUAUUGAAAGAUUGAUUGUUGAAAAAAGCACAUAACAAUGUUGUAAGUGAAUUGGCAAGCCCUCUUGAUAAACAAAUAUCACCAAUUUCAAAUUUAAAGAAGCUAAGUCAUUUGAUCAGUCAAAAGUAGUAUGGGUUAAAUCAAAGAUCACACUCAUAGACAACGGAAAUCCUACCUAAUA